rnacentral:rRNA from 1 species
UACGGAGGAUGGAAGCGUUAUCCGGAAUGAUUGGGCGUAAAGCGUCCGCAGGUGGCAAUGUAAGUCUGCUGUCAAAGCGUCUGGCUCAACCAGAUAAAGGCAGUGGAAACUACAUAGCUAGAGUAAGGUAGGGGUAGAGGGAAUUCCUGGUGUAGCGGUGAAAUGCGUAGAUAUCGGGAGGAACACCAGUGGCGAAGGCGGUUACCUGGAGCUUUGCUGACGCUGAUGCGCGAAAGCGUGGGGAGCGAUCCGG